ensembl:lncRNA
AAGCUGUUCUGUUGUUGCCCUUUUUUUUUUUUUUCCUGCUGUACCUAUUCAAUGAUCCCAUGUGAAUAAUUCAUUCAGACCUAAAGGAGUGCUGAACCCAUGUGCUUCACAGUAGUUAACCAGGAAGAGGAGGAAGGAUUGUCCUGUUAGUAGUCUGAAAUGAUUAGAAGAUCCAUGGGAAUGGAAGCUUUCAGAAGGAGGAAGGGUCAGGUCUGUCUUGGAGAACUCAUCCCCAUAGAAGCAAGAGGGAGGCUGUUCCAGUAACUCUUGUGGGAGGUCUAGCUGGGAAGCCAUCAUUGGCAGCACCGCACUCCCCCUGUUCCCAGACAGGAUUUCAGCCCAUUACAAGGACUAGCUCAGCUCCUGCCUCUGGUGCUUUGGUCUGCUAGAAAACUCAGACAUCAAUAAGGCAGUUAAGUUUGUAUAUUGAAUCAUGCAAAGUAUGGAUUAUGCAAAACAGCCCAGCUGUAAUUUCGAGUGAAAGGAGAGACAGGUCAACACUUUGCAGGACUUUACAGGACAGAACUCUAAGCACUGCAAGAGAUCCUGACACCAGUGAAUGAGUCCAUGCAGCAGAUCAUAAACACAUCACCAAGUCAUGAUAUUGGAACAUCACUUCCUGCCGAUACCUAAAUAUUAAUCUUUAUACAGUUUUGAACAGGACUGAAUAUACAGUUGCCCACUUUUGAGCUACUGCUAAAUGGAAUUCAGCAUGUUGUAUGUUGUAUGGGUUGGAGAACAGCAGAGUUGCUCGGGGGAGUGAGGGGAAUCAGGUGUGCUGCUGACAUGCUGUCUGCUCCAAAGAUGCUUGAACCCUGCUGUCCUGAGCAUGGGAGCGCUCAUGGAAUUGGAGGAAGGUUCCUUGUUCUCAUGUCCAGCGAACAGCAGGACUGAAAACCCUCUCUGUAGGCUCCUCCCAAAGCCAUGCACCACUACUCCUGCAGGCUUAUACCUCUCUUCCCAGUCUGCUCCUGAGUUCUGUCUCUGCUUCUCCAUCUGCUAGCUUUUUUCUACAUAAAUCCCUGCCCCAAACAAGAUCAACAAUGCUCCCCACCCAGAUCUUUUAAAUUCCUGAGCAACCUUGUAUUCACCUUGUGUAGGGCAGAAACAUGUGCUGAACUGCUUCUUACAGCUCAGAAGAGAUGUGCGGUGGUUAAUCCUACCAUUUUCAACUAGGCUGAACUCAGCUUAUAACAAAACCAUCGGUAAAAAUGUAACCACUUCACAACUGUGUAUGUGUGCAUGUGUAGUAUGUGGAAGGAAUUUGCAAAAGAAUUGGCCAUCUUUCCAUGAAGUUCCAGCAGGAUCCACAAUCAGAAUGAGGACUCAGUUCAGUUCAUUUGCGAGUUUCAUAUAGGAAGAAGUGUGUAGUUCUUAGUGAUUUAUUCUGUUGGAACUAUAGAUUCUGGUGCCCUUAUGGUUUCUUCUUCAGACAUCAAGCCCCACCAUUUUGAUUCUGAACUGGCCCAAUCUAAACACUAGAUUGGGAGCCAGAGAGGCCACAGUAGUUGUUAAGUUUAGUCAGUCAGCCAUACACAUCUUCUGGGCUGGAACCAGCUUCCACCUGGCCAGUUUGGAGGAGUGUCUGCACUUCUCUCAGUUCACAGACUAACCUGGAUUAGCAAGCCUUUGCCUUCCUGAGAUCAUGGCAUUUGGAAUGGUUGAAUUACCUAGGGAGGUCUCUCUACUGAUGCUUUGCCAUAACAAAAACUCUGUUAUGUUCUGCUCACAAAUGCAUAAAAUAGUGCUUAUUGAACUUGAAUGUGUCAUAUAUGUGAACCCCAAAUUAUGCUGAUGUUGAUGAUCUUAAUAAGACAGCAUUUUAUGCUCUGAAAGGGCUUGUGCAUGAUGCAUUCUGUGGUCACUUGGAGGUAGGAGUUCUGUGAUGCAGUGUGGUCUCCCAUCAGCAGCAGGCAUGUUGAGCAAGGGAAGGGAAUGGUUAGGAGGCACUCCAUAACCUGACAUCUUCUUAAAGAGUUUAUAUUAAGGUGAGUUAUCACACAUAGCCAACUCUAAUCCCUUCUAAACGAAGGUUCUGUUUAUAGAAUAUCCAGGUCAGGAUUAUAAAUCUCUGAACAAAUCACAGGUAUAAUUAAAAGGAAUAAUGCCAAUUUUAUUUUCUAGUCGAUCUCUGUACUCCUUGGACUUCUCACAGAUAAAUACAGAUAGUAUCUCUGUGAACUAAUAGUAACUUGUUCGUUAUAGCACCUUUGAUUUUACCACUAGAUUGAAAUACAUACUAGUAUUAAACAUUGUAUAUAGUAUAACAAAGUGGUUAAUUCUUUCAGUUUUGCACUGCUGUGUUCAAUGGAGCUUUAGAAGUAUUUCCAAAGAAAUUUCCAACCUUCAUUUACUCUUUGUAGAUAAAUUUGUUUUGCCUUUUUCAUGCCAUUUUUGUGGUCAGUUUCGAGCAGUCAUCUUCAGUUCACCAAUGAGAAUUUCACAGGAAUGGAGGGGUUUCUCAAUGUGUCAUGGAAUUUUUGAAGAACAGGAUCUAUUUAAUCUUUGUCAUAUUACUUUGCAACAAAAACCUGAUUCUGAGAGAUAAGAAAAGACGACAGGACAGAGGGGAGCACCACAUGACCUAAUCUUACAUUUAAAGAGGUAGCACAUUCAUUUUAAAUUGAAUAUUUGUUAACGACUCCUUGUAAGGUGUUCAGAAAAUAACAAAGAUAACUUUACAAAGCAGAGCUUUACUGAGAGGGAAAAAAAUGGAAAAAGAUAUUAUGUCUUAGUAGGGUUAACAGGAACAUAUAUAUGUUCUAUCAGUAAAGCCAAUUACUGUAGUCAGUACAGUCAGUGGUACUUAACUAGUAGAUAUCUGGCAUAGUUAAAGGUAGCUUGUAACCCACUUACACAGUAAAGAGUAAGACUAGUACAGAAAUGUUCAAUUCUUUCAAUUAAAGCAUUUUAUCAAAUGCAGUAAACCAGUAUAUAACUUUGCUUUGAGAAAAAAGCCAAGAUGGAAAAAGGAUAAUUAUACUGUUCAGGUAAAUAACAUUUUCCUGACAGGAGUCCAAGUUAUAUUAAAAAAAAGAAAAAAGAAAAAAAAAAGGCUACCUUUCUUAGUUUCUAUUUUCCACUGGAGGUGUAGGGAAAAAUGCAUAUAGAAGUUUUUUUUUUUUUUUUUUUUUUUUUCCCUCAGUAUUUGGUGGUCCUUCCUUAAAACUUUUAAAACCAAAGCCAUUUCUCACAUCUGGUUGGAACACAGAUCUUUAAGCCAUUCAAGUAAUUCAAAUCACAUGUAAAAAUCUAAGCUACAGUGUAUGAAAUUCAAGAACAAUGUAGUUCUUACAGGGUCUGCAGUGUGCCACCUCUUUUAAUCAAUAACAGCCUCAGUUCAGUUUAUCUGUAAAUACAAGACUGCAGUUAAGAAUGAUCUACUGCAUUAUUUCAGUACUGAGAAUAGCAAGUUACCAGAUUAGUGACACUUUACAACUAUAAUAAUCUUAUCCCUGUACUCUAGAUGAAGUUCACAGCAAUACAGACUGUAUCAGAUUAUAGUUCCAAUGGAAAAUAUUGAAGAUCACUAAUAUCAAUACACAUUUCCUUAUCUCAACCAUUUGUAACUGCUUGUAUUGACUUUCAUUACAUUCCAGCAGUUCUGCUUAUUCCCAAAUGGUAGUCAUUAAUUUCCAUUAACUAAGGCACAACUAUACAUAAUUUAAAUUGUUUCCAAUAAAUGUUCAAUUAAUGUCUGUUAUCUGCAUUUAAUUUCCAUCGAUUCCAAAAAGCUACUGUUGAGCUUAAUUGCCACCAUAAUUAAAACAGUUUACCAUGAGCGUAAUUGGGUCUCCAUUAAUACCAAUGGACAGCUACAAGGACUGAUUACUCUCUUACUGUCAAGCAGUAGGGAGCAGUGCUACACAGAGAUCGCAGUGCAAAUGAAUGGCUACAAACCCAAACAGCUGCGGCUGAAGUUGACCAGAGAACAGUAUUUACCACAGCAACAAACGCAUGCUUUUCUAGGAUACCGGUCCAGAUGGCCAGAAAAUAUUCUAGAGGUUUCCUUAAGCUUAGUAUGGGAGAAAAAAAGUGAAUUACAUCAGACUGUUGAAAGUAGCACGGUAUCCUGGCUUGAAAUUUGUUCCACUUCAAAUAAAAGUGACAGCUGACAAAGGGAAGUUCUAGACCAACAGAAAAAUGGGUGCAACUCAUUUAAUCCUUUUUUUUUUCCCCCUAUAAGUUUGUCUGUUCAAAUACAGUGCCUGACCAAGAACUGGGGAGAAAAAAAUAAUAAAAGAAUAAAACCUCUACCUAUAGGACUGCUUCAGAUUGUUGGGGGGUGCUAUAGGUCCAUAGCAAUAGCUUAAAUUCAAUGAGAGUAGAUCACUUUAACAUAUUGUUAGGUAUUCUAUAUACAAGUCAGCUACAUUUAGAAUCUCAGAAAUUGCCAAUUCAUGAGAACAAAACAUCUGCUUAAGAGCGAUGAUCUUGACUAAUGUUCCCUUUGAAGAGAUAAACAAAAGAAUCAGCUUGCUGAAAAUUAAAUGUUACUACAUUUUCAGAAUGACAUUUUCAAUUUUGCAUUGCAAAAUGUUUUUUUCCUGUUUUCCAUACUAUUUCAAAUUGAGAUCUAAAUGGAAUAUUUUCCUUUUAUUCAAAUCACUUGAUUGACCAACAAGUAUUUUAUUCAUAAUCAUGCUUUGUAAUGGCUUUCUGGAUUGUUUUAUUGCUUUAAUUAGGAGUGGAAGUAAAAUUCACCCCUAAGACAUUGCCUGAGAUGAAAAGUCUGGAUUUCGCUGGGCUUCAGCUAGAGUACUUUUUCGCUAGCUUCACUUUCUGAAUAUAUUCAAAGCCUUGUCCAAAGUAGAGUUCAUUAAAAUAGACCAGCAUUAAAUCAUGGAGGGCAGAGCUUUGGUGUCAAGAAAUCUGUCUUACAAAGGAAAGAUUGCUGCCUUCUAGCUACAAAUACUCUUAUAAGGUCUGCACUGCCAGUCAGAAAGGACCUCCAAGCUAGUCCUGUGCUAAAGUUGUCACACAUCCCACACUGUACUAUGGUCAGACCUCUUGUCUACUAUGAAAUGAAAGUGAGUAUGGCUUUUCCUAUAUUUUUAUUGCAGCCUACUGUUUUUUAACAGUUCUGCAUUUGCAUGGCAAAUACAACAGAUGUUGAUUUGGGGCUGGAGUGCUUUAAAUUACCAUUGGACCUAAAAGUCCCAAAAUUUGAAGACAAUCCUGAUAGCUAUAUAUAAUGAACUGUUAUUCUAUUGUAAUGAAUGUUAAUCGUUUAACACCAAGUUAUCACCACAAGAAAAUGUGCGACUACCUCCACUGUUCCACUUGUACCCUCUUGUAUCUGUACUGCCCACCCAAAGACGGAGAAAUCCUGUAGACUUGACAAUCCUACUAUCCUAUAGACCUGAAAUCAAUAGUGUCAGGACAUCCCUGCUUGCAGCAGUUGUAAUGUGGCUAAUACACAGUCAGGAUGUGCUCCUACAUAGCAGGCAUCACUGUGCACCCACUCCUUCCAGUCCCUGCAACACCAUUGAGCUCCUAAUUAGAGAAGUUCACCUCAUACAAGAGUGUGAGCUGCCAUAGCAUUAGGUACAAGGUGGUACCUGGGGGUGAGGAAAAUUCCAAUUCCGUGUCCUCCUUUCUCAUUUAUGAGAGAGUUCUUAGGGUGGAAUAAAUUAAACAAAGGAAAUUAUGUUAUCAAAUCAGUUAAAUUUAUCUGUAUAUCCUUUCUGGUGCCAUAAAAGGUGACCGUUUUUCGAUCUUCAAAUGAAAUUUGGAGCAUAACUGAAAGAACAAAUUGUAAAGACUGGAGUUUUGUUUUGGAAAAUACCUUGCUACCAAUAUCUUGCAAAUAAAGAAUGUAAGCUCAAACAGAAUGAUGACCAAAUGGCUAAGACCAUAGUAUCAGGGCCUCAACAGCUUACCCUGUAAUUGCAUGGCAGCUAGAAAAGGCUGAAGUAGGCAGACAGUUGCCACAUCUCUGCUAUUCUGCUACAAAGGAAGAAGAGCAGAGAGGUGUGUUUUUUGUCUUGGGAAAAAUCAAAUUGCUAUCUCAGCUGUUGCUUUCCGUAUUGCCUCUACAUCAGAGAAAAACCAUACUUCCUUGUGUCCACUGUUCAGUUACUCAUCCCACUAAGGAGUAAGCAAGGAGAGAGGAAGAAAAAAGGACAAGUAAAAGGCUGAACAAGUCAGUGAUCAAGUGAGCCUUUGUUUUGAAGGCAGACACACAAUCUAAGGGGCAAUACUCCAUCUACAUCGUAGAGAAGGUUCAGCUCUUGAGCAGCUUAGAGCACAUCACUACAGCCAGGUCUCAAGGUGGCAAAGUCUUAGGCAACAGUUACAAACUUUGCAUCUGAAAUAAAAGUGACACCUCUUAAAACCAAACCCAGAUGUUGAGGGUAAUGGGCUACAGGAAUAUCUAGGAAGUGCUGAGCCUCUCAGGCAGCCCUGACAUGCAAACAUGCAUAACAAGGAGUUUAUGCACAUUCUGUAGAGGACUGAUACUGUAAAGAGCUGAUGCAAAGAACUGAACAAAGGAAACCAUUGUGAUACACAAUAAAGAAGGAAUUAUCUUGGUCUCUUGGAGAACUGUCUCUUGAAACCUUAUCUAUUAACUACUUACAUAGACACAGAUAUCAGCAGUGAUGGAUACUACCUGUUCUUCCUUCUGAUUCUUUCCCUUUCAUGCCAACAUUACAUCUGCCAGUUCAGGUCUAAGUCUUUCCAGCUAGCUCUCUUUCAAGAUUCUGUGUCAGCAAGUCUUCUGUGAGGCACCCUCCAGCAAUUUAGCAUAUAAGAUGAGAGCUGUGUGGUUUCUGGAACAUUAGAGUUUACACAUCUAAUCGCUCAGGUAUUCCUGAGCACAUUUAGCAAGAGAUCUGACAGUUAACAUCUAUCUAAAGGACUUGGUCCUUAGAGAGGAUGUUCACUGUUUCACACCAGAAUCUCUCAGAAAGGAGUCGAGUCUCUGCUUGGCAAUGGCAUUUAUCCCAAGUACUGACUGAUAAUGUGCCAUCUAUAUUUCAUACAGUUCCUCUGUAAUAAUCAACUGAUAAUGCAAGUAAACUUUAUUUCUAGAUCUUCUAGGAUCUUCUUAUUGCCUCUGGUUUUUGUUGUUGUUGUUUGUUUUGUUUUGUUUUGUUUUGUGGAAGAGAGGUAGUCCCAACCCAUAUACACGUUUCACUCCAAUUUUCUCCAUGGAAACCUCUUUUGUGUUAGCAAAUAUCAACCAGCUUCCCUUCUGGGAGUAAGAAUCCCAUGUCCUUAAUUUGCAACAGAGAUGAGAAUUUCAGUCUCUUUUUUCCUCGACUGUACAGGUGAGAAUGACUUUAUCUAUAGUCAGAAAGUAUGUGGAAGAACCUAUUCAUAAAAUCAUGGAGUCAUUAAGAUUGGAAAAGUCCACUAAGAUCAUCUAGUCCAAUCACACUAAAGGCAAGCAGAACAAAAUGUGUGCUAAAUAUGACAGAUAAUAAAGUAGAUCCCACUUGAUGUCACAGUUGCCACUUGUUCCAGUUAAUGAAACUCAUCCCGUGCCCUGAUAUGACAUGAAAGCAUGUCAUAAGAUCCACGUCUUUCAGUAAGUUCCCAAGUUAAACUGCAUGUUCAGUUUGCCACUUACCAACUAUAGUAGCAACACAGAGAGCUGUUGCUAUGAAGAGCCAGAACGGUAUUCACAUACCCAUAUAUUUAUAUAUAUUUUUUUGCCUAAUUAAAACAAAAGCAAAGUUCUGGAAGUAGGUAUCAUAAGGAAUGAAGUGGUAGUCUCCAAACUCAGCUGCACAGAAGUUUAUCCAUCCCCAGAAAAAUGGUAGCAAGUAACUUCUUGUAGACACUCACAGUGAGUGCAAUUGGCUGUUCCUGCCUCCAAGGUUAUGACGGCAUAGCACACGUAGCAUCUCCUACUUGUGCCCACAUGCCUUGAGCUCAUUUUCCUAAAUAACGUAACUGAGAAAUCACAAGCUGUAACCGAUGUUUUGUCACACCGCACCACGUAAGAAUAUAAUUGUUUGUCUUUUUCCAUGUGAAGAGUUUCUCAGCUUCUCUGGAUAUUCCGAUUACCACUAUAAAAAUAAUUUUGCUCUGCAUCCUCCUAUAGUUUGGAACCUCAAUAAUUUAACCUUCAUUGAUAAAAUCUGCCAGAUUUUCCAGGCUCUGCAACCUGGAAGCAAAACAUAAGGAUUAGUUAAGGACUGCGAUAGGCUCGUGAGCAGUUGUUAGUUAUUCCAGUGGCAUAGCUCAUGCUGUUUUCCUUUCACACAAAUUACCCUGGAAGCCCUGCCCGCUGGGGCAGGUGCUCUCAGGAGAUAAGCAACAGUAUGAAAAGUUUGAGAAUUAAUCUCAUCGUGCAAUAAACUUGACAUCUAAUCUACUGCUUACAUUUGUAACACACCCAGGAGAGUUUAGCUGAUUUGCCAUUACACUGUUAAACAGCCACAGUAGCCAAUGUGUCCUUCCCAAUGCUUUUCAGUAGUCCUAUUUUACUGUAACUAAAGGUGCUGCACGUGCAUCUUCCGACGUGUUUUUCAGCUUUGCACAUUCAGACUUUCACUCAGUUCUGGACAAUGAACUCAGGUGACAGGGGAGUGGAGGAUCCCUUUUCCAGCUGGUUUCCUAUGGCGAAGGAUUCCCACUGUGCAAAUCUUGUGGAGAUUUGGCCAUGAUUGUGGUAUCCAGACACACAGCUUUUUUAGGCCGCAGGUGCUUUUGAGCAAGCACAAGACUUAUUCACUUGGAUUCUUUAAAGAUGGAAAAAAGGUCCUUCGAUAUUUUAGUACCUUUGGGGCUAGACAUCACUUGAGCAAGGGUUUUAAGGAUUUACUUUGAGUUGAAAGGAAAGGUACUUGAAUUUAACUUCUGCACCAAUUUAAAAUCCUAAAUCUAUUUUCUAACCUAACCCUUAGUCACUAGGGCAUCUGGAUGAGUGGAAAUGAUAAAAUAACCACCUUUGACAAUUCCUUAAAAUUCCUGAAUGAAAAGUACUCCUACAAGAUACAUAAAUGAUUUGACUGUUUCACACAGACCAGAAAAUCAGGACUAAAUUCCAAGAAAAAAUGACAUAUCACAACAUCAGCUCAAACAGAAGGUUCCAGCUGUUCCAAAUGCCACUAAACCACAAUGAUUAUUGCAAACAUAAAUAAAGCGAAAUCUUAAUCCAACUUUAUCAAGGAGUAACUAACCAUAUUUCUCCAUUCUUCUAGUAGUUAUGUGAGAGCACAUUUUCAUAAGCAAGGAGAAAGAUGGAAUGUUAGCUGCCACUUUCUCUCGUACUGUAUGAAAAACCCAAACACCUAUAAAUACAUCUAACGAACAACUGAAGCGGGGCAGAUCACAUAGGGUAGAAAAAAAUAACCCGUCAAACUGAAGUCUAAAUUAUGUCCUUGAUAAGUGGCUUGACUUGCGUUUGUUUUGAUUUUUUUUGUUGUUUUUAGUGGAUGAUGUCACUUCCUUUUGACCACCACCAAAAAUAAUUGUUGCCAGAGCUCUAUGGCUGUUAAACCAAAAAAAGAGUGGAAUUUUCUGAAAAUUUUUACAGCUUCAAUAGUCACUUCCAGACUGACAUUUUGUGUUUUAAAAGCUAUCUUUAAAGAACUAAAUAGGUGACAAAGCAUUCCAGAAUCUGUCAAAGUAAAAAAAAAAGUCAAAGCAUGGAAAUGCAAACCCAUUGCACUUACGCCACACUUUAUGCUUGCGGUGGAUGGUUUGGGUUAUUUCAUUUGCAGACUUCUGCCUCCAUUCAUUCCAGUAACAAAAGUGCUGAUAGCACCUUAUCUGUUCUAGUUAAGGUAGCUCUUUCUCUGUCCCACCAAGUUGAAAUGAUCACACAAAAUUCCAUGUUUUUUGUCAUUUUCCCACCAUUCUGUUACUCUCCAAAACAUUCUCUGAGAACCCUAAUCCUAGCUCCUUACAAUACAAGGAGGAGAAACACUGCAGUUGGGCACUGAUUAAAUGUUAGUGUAACUCUUUAGCAUUCCAAAAGACUCCUUACCAGUUAGUAAAGAAAGAUGCUUUUACAGAUACCAAAGAGAAUGCCUGCAGUGGGGUAUUGCAUGAGGAAACCUGAGCUAUCUGGAAGUGAGUCCUCGCACACUGGAGCAGCUGAGCCAUUAGAGCAGGACUGUUCAGGUUAGGAGCGCGCUGCCUGGAUAGGUAUCUUCUGGGUCCAGUGUCAUAUCUCUUCUUGGCAGCUAAUGAACGGUAUUUUGGAUCAGAGCAGUUUUCAUAAGGAUGUGUGCUACAUUUUAGAAGAUUUUUAAUCUCUUACCUCUAGAUGUGUAACCUGUAAUUUCCCUGUGAUAUUUAUGUUGCAUAUAUUUAUGUGUAAGUAACAGGUUGCAAAGAUUUGAAAAGCAAACCUGAUUUAUUUUUUUUGCUGGACCUGUCAGGGAUUCAGUACAGAGCACUGGCGUGGGCUGACCUAAGAAGUUGUGGACUCUCUGUUCUUGGUGAUAUUUACAAGUCAUCUGGACGUAUAUUGUGCAGUGUGCUGUAGGUGACCCUACUUGAACAAGCAGAUUGGACAAUAUGACCUCCAGAGGUCCCUUCCAACCUCAGCCAUCCUAUGAUUCUGUGAAAAAUACCGAAGUUGGAAUAUUAGUUAAAAAAUAAUGAAUAGAUUAAUGGGCUGGAAUAAGAGACAUUUACUGGGUUCUCUGGAAUGAGAGGACAUUCCACUGAGCAUUCCAAAUCUACAAAUCAAGUUCCUAUGUGCUCAGGUAGUGACAGAAGUGUUGCUCUGGGACUACGGGAAUGAGCAUAACAACACUGAAUGGAAGCUGAGUAAAAGAAGAGAGGUUUUAGUAGCUCUGUCACCACUUGUCCAGAAGAAAAUUGCUGCUUUGGACUCCCAUGUUGAUUCAUUUUUCCAGUAAUAUGAGCUGUCUGGGAGAUUCGCUGUUCAUUCCUUUUGCAUAAAUGGUCAGGUGAAAGCUGGAAUACACAAUUUCUACUCCCCUCUGUGAAAUACAACUUCUUGACAUUGUUUAAUAAGUGUAUUUCACUCUUUUCCUGUUAGAAGCAGCUUAUAUAUUUACGUUUGAAUGACAAAGUAGUUAUAGAGAAAAAUAUCUCCUAUAAUUUUUCUGCAAACUAUAUUGUUCUUUAAUAUGAACACAACAAUAAGGUUGUGUUCAUAAACAUACUGUUACCAAUAUAAACAAUUACAAAACCAUAAAAAAAUAAACGCACACAAUAACCAAAAGUAUAAACCCACCACUACUAAAUAGCACUUCAUAGCUGUGGCUCUGAAUUAUUACUGCUUUACCAACACAGCCACAGUAUCCGACUUCAUAAAAUUCUCUGCUCUACAAAUUAAAUGAAUUGGAUAAUUAAGAAAACCUAUGUUUAGUCCACAAAGGGAAACCACCAUCACUAUAGCAUGAAAAUGAACCCACAUUUUAAAAAAUGGUAACAUUUCAUUUCCUGGCAUGCAUGAUCCAUACCUACUUGCUCUCUAUCCAUUCGUAGCUGUGUGUAUAGGGAAUUUAGAAGCUGGGCAGCUACUUUGCUUCUCAAGACAGCCAGGGACGCGCUACUACACUACUACAAUAACUUCAGGUGUAGAUUAGAAAGUCUUCAGGAGUGGGACUUUGGCCCCCACCCAUCUGCAAGACACUUAGUCGCUAUCAGGAAAUUGAGAACUACAGACUGAGAGUAGGUGGUUUGUUACGAAAGACAUGGCACAGGCCAGAGAUGUGCAGGCAUUGCACUAGGACCUGUCACCCCCACUGUCAUAGCUGAAGACAGACUUUUAACUCUGCAUUUUCCUUCCUCGUGCCAAGAGAUGCCAAUUAUAACCCCUAAAAUAUGUUGGCUGUAUGGUGCUGCCUGAUUACCUUCAUUGCAUUAGCCAUAGGAACAGGGCAAAAACACACCUAUACUGAUGAUGUCAGGGAAUUAGGCAUGCAUGUUUUAUUCUGAACAGCAUCUCCAGAACAGUUGCUGGCACUAUGCCAGUUGCAUUUGACUUGUAAAAUCUCAGUGUUUGCCAGCAGGAUUUUUUGCACUGUAUGCAGAUGGCCGGGUGUUAUUCUUCCUCCACCCACAUGCCUGAGUCCAGUAACAGCCCUGCUCCUGGCAAAAUUCAAUCUUUUCUCAUCUCUCAACCCAUGCUCAUUCUUACAUUAGUUUUUAAUUAAUCUACGGUUAGCUGAAGCUCCCUCCAUGAAUCAAUGAUUUCCUUUCAAUUCUUGUUAAAGAUUUUUCAUUUUCAUAAACUUGCAGCAUGUUGCUGAGAAUCAACUAACAGCACAUUUUUCUCUCAUUAUCGCAUCAGUGAGGAAUGGACCCGAUGAAGCAAAAAGAGCAAAAGUAUGGCACCGAGGACCUCCAGGCCCUUCUAUCUGUUCUAUACAUUUUCAGAUGCUGCAAAUGAAAACACUGUCUUUUGCCACCUUGAAAACCAUGGGACUGAUUUUUUCCUGGUGUAAAGUGCCAUAACUCUGUUUUGGCACACAGGCAGGUUACUCUGACUUACACCACCUGAAUAUUUGACAGCUCCUACUCUUUAGUUAUACUUUCUAACUAAGGGAACAGCCCUCAGUGAAACUGCCCCUCAAACAGGAAUUGCGGGAGUUUUCUGUGACUGCAUUGUUUCUAAACGCAAGUUCUUCUGUUAUUUGAUGAAGGCCUGAUCAGAGUGGGAUUCAAUUUACAAGCCUUUGGCAAAUUGAAAACAGUCUUAAGAAUCCCGAGACUUUCUGAUCACAUUUGCUUUAAAGAAAAGUGAAUACAUUAUGUGAAAUAGAGUGAUGAGCAUACUUACCCCUGUAGGUGGCACGGGAGGAAAAAUCACUAUUUAGUCAAUGAAGGAAAAUGCAAGACAUCAUGCAUUUUAAGCUAGUUUGUCAGAUCUGUGAGCUGCAGGCACUGGUACUAGGUCCAAUUAAAGACAGAGUCCUUUAUGGCUUAAGCCCAUGCUCACUAUGCAUGUGUAUUACAUUAAACCUUUUAUUUUCCCUUUUCUCCAGUUACUCUUCUGUGCAUUUUGGUCUAAAUUUUCAGAAAAUUGCAUGCACAGUUCCUACAGUUAUGCAUGUAAUCAAUGAGCUAUUUAUGUAUACAACUACUGUGACCAGGUAUGAAAAUCGCCAAGCGGCUUUUGCCAUUUUUCAGUAAUUUAGACCUUUGUCAUUUAUUCAUCCGCUUUUGUUCGAAACAGUAAGUUCAUGGAAAUUUAAUUCAUUUGAAACAUAUGCGUAGAUCCAUAUGAACUGCCCAAAAGCAUCACAAAGAGAAAGGAUAACCUUGUUGUUAAGGCAGGAGAGCGCGAAAUCUGGUUUCCAUUCCGAGUUCUGCCACACAUUUCCUGUGUAACCUUGGGCAAGUCAUGAACUGUAACCUAUCUAAGUGUGGCUGACCUACAUGUAAAGCAGACAGAGCAAUCCUUGCUUCACAAGGCUAUUGAGACGUUUUGUUUGUUAGCACAUGUGAAAAACAUUGAAACAAGUAAGUGGAAGGUGCUAUAGAUGUAUAAGCUAUCAUUAAUGAUAUUAUAUAUGUGAUACGUGAUUCGUACUCGAUCGUGAAACAGUAUGUAAAGGAGCAAACGUAGCCACUGAGAACUGAGCAAAGAAAAUGGCAAACAAAUUCAAGUACGGAGAUGAACAAGAAUCAAACAGUGAUGGUGAGCAUGAACAGGCAUGUGAGUAAUUAACCUUUAUACUGCAAUUUUUACUGUCCUACUUGGUCUUGCCCUUUUACAAAAGGCUUAAGUGUCCGAAGACAUAUGAGAAGCACUGAGUUAGUUAAUUCAGCACUGACCACCAUGCAGUCUGUUUGAUCAGCAUGAAUUCUUUAAUCAGGACAAUUCUGACAGUUAUGUCGGGUAUUGGAUAAAGGCUUGUGGAGAGCAUUAUGGCGUUGUACUGAUCCGGAUAGCAUGUUCAUUUAUAGGAAAAUGUGCCCUCUUUCUUUCCUUAUUCACCAGGACAGAACUAUUAAGUCAGUUCUGUUGCUGCAGUUCCUUUCUUAUUUUUCAGAUAAAAUACAUUUAAAUUUGCACAUCCCCUCACCAUUUGGGGCACGGCCUUAUGGAAGACAUAUAAAUCGUGACAUAUUCUCUGAGAGUACAUCUCCUUUUAAAAAUGACCUCAUUUUGUAGCUGACCCAUGUACGGCAUUCACACUGACAUCAUUAGGAGUCUAGACUAUGACUAGUACAGCAAAAUGCUCCCUAUGUUGCUGAUCCAGCUAGGAUAAAAUGUUACGUCUUGGAUCUCAGUUUCCAUUUUGAUUAACAGAACCUUUCUUUUUGAGAUCCGAAACAAAGCAUUUGAGAAAAUGUGACAAUAUUUUUCUUUACCUUGGGAAAACACUUUUAUGAGUCUUUAUGUCACGUGUGAUAUUUUGGGGGAGGUUCUGAAAAUCAGAAUUGGCAAAGGAAAAUGGAAUAAAUGAAGAAAAUUCUAUAGGUUAAGUUUUUUUGAUCUUCGGGCAAAUGUUUUAUCAUAUGCCUUGAUUCAUACCUCUGAAGGUGAUGAUCAUCCUUUGAGUUUGUGUUCAAUCUGCAACUGAGAAAGCAAGCUUACUGAUAAUGUUCCUAAAUUUGCUACAGUGAGCUUUGUGCUUUCAAUGUGAAAUGCUUAGCUGUGCACAAAAUGAAAGUUUGAGAAGCACUGCUCUACAGAAAGUGCACAGAGGUUCUGGGAAACAUGCUAUCUGUGAAACCUAGCUGAGAGGAACUCAUCAGAAAGAGCUACCAGCAGUGUUAUAUUCUGCUUGCCUGUUACCGUCUUUGCUUUCCCACAGUUUGCUUUCUGCCCAAAAUACCUAAUUUCAUAAGUGACCUGAGAGCACCCAGCUAACCUAAACAGGCCUUCACAUGAACUCUUCUCCAUGUUUAGCAUAGCUUCUACUCUUAGUUCAUUAUCUGGGGCAACUCAAACCACAGCACCUGUCCAACAUGUCCAGGCUGGGCACUGGGGGCUGCAGGGAAAGAACCACACGAGGCUAUUUGUGUGGCUUGCUCCCAGGGGUGCAGAGCCUCCCACUUCAUCACACCCGCCUCCACUGCUGCCAUGCUCCAUCACGUCAACAUUCAUGCAGAAAAGCUACCCUGAUUCCCAUUAACAGUGUGCAGACAAUAAGGGGUGGGUGUGAUAGGCCACUGUGACCUUCUGCAGCACAUUGGCCCUCUGCAUUCUCUGGAAUUCUUCUCUACUUGAACUGGAGCAAACCUUUUGGAAAAAAAGAUAUGAUCUUGAUUUAGUAUUUUCCAAUGAGGGAAAAUACACUAUAAACUUUGGGAGAUUAUUUCAAUAGCUAAUUAAAGCCAAUUAAACCUCUGUGAAGAUCAUGAGGAAGGUCCUUAUCAGCUGCUGAGAAAGAAUCCAGAUUUACUGCUUUUAUAUAUGAAUUGCACGUGUUAAUUGUUGGUGGUGGUGGUGGUGGGUUGUUUUUUUGUUUUUGUUUUUUUUUAAAUCACUGAUUGUAAUACAAAAAAAGGAAAAAAAAAUCUGGUCAGCAGAAUGAUUAAAUGAAUCACUAUUUCUUUCCAGGUGAAGUGUUGAUCGAACCUGUUAGAUAUUACCUUAAAAAUGGAGAUACUAGGCACAUGCAGUGGGAGUAGUUUCACCAUGCUUUAGCUGGUCUUCAUUACAUGUGAGCUAGUUAAUGGAAAAAAACAGGCACAACAUGAUUCAUUUGAUCUUAGGCAUACACCUACCUUACAUUUGAACAGAUGAAUCAUGUUUUCAGUAUGUGUGACAGUUAAGAAAAUUUGGGCAGUGGCCCUAAUUCGGAGCAACCAGGAAAUGGCCUGCUGAAAGUGAUCUACCUGAUGGAAAACGAUCUGCAAAUGGCAUGGCAGGGGGAGUGGACCUUUAGCUCAAAUCCAUGGUGUUGCCCCUACUAUUAGGUCCUUGGAGUGCUGUGGAGAAGUACUCUAGAGCUGCCUCAUGACUAGGUUGUAAUUGUAAUUGUAAUUUAGUCCCACUGGUCUAGGUAAGGUCCUGGAGCUGGUAUGGAUCAUAUGAUUUAGAUGAACCUGGAAGGAAUGAAGUGCAUGCACUCUGUGAUGUCAACCAAAUCACAGCAAGGGAAAAACACUGGUGAUUCACUUUAGAAGUAUACUCUAGGUCUUUGUGACAGUGUUAAUGUUGAGACAGCCCAAGUGCUUUGCCUUCAUGACAAAAAGGUAUGCGGAUCUGUUCUCAAAACUGGUGGCUAGAUCUCAGUUGGUGGUCAUUAUUUCUCUCUUCCAGACAUUCCCAAAGGCAAAUAAAGUAGUCUACUCCUUCUUCUGUCUUGGUAUGUGUGGUUACUGACUUCUGUCAAAUACAGCUUGUAUGUUCAGGGCUGCAAUGUGUAUCAGCUUUGGAUAAAAGUGCCUAGGGAGCAGCUGUUUGCCUGGGUUUCAGACUACGGUUUAGCUACUACCUUUUGAGGAAGCAUUUAAUCAUCUGUGUUUCUCUUUCACCUGAACACAUGAUUAAGCUUACAGGCCAAAUCAGUUUGGUCAAAACCAGAUGUCCAUCAAAUCUAGGCAAUGAAAUCCUUUCUCUUCAUACAAAUCCCCCGCUUCAGUGCUGCAGAAAUACCCGCUUCCUUCUCUGCUUGGGUUUUUGUAAACCUACAGGUUUUAAAAGUAUUUGUUACUUUACACUUUGAUAUUGGGUAUAAUUUCUUCCACCGGUAAGGGAAAUAACCAGGAAUGAAGUUCUUUAAAUUCUAAGUUUAAGAAGAGAGAUCCAUCUUUCAUUCUUCUGUAAGUGUUAUGUUCAUCUACAGGCUCUAUAGUUAUAAAGGUGAGAGCUUCAGAGGUCAGAUGAGAAACAUUGCUUCAACAAUGUUGGGGGUCAUCACUGGAAUGUAAGAGAUUGUUUUAUUUGUAGAAGACUCAGCAAUUGUCAGAGGAAUAUCAUCUACCUUCUUUAUCCUCCAAAGAAAUUACCUAAUAGUUUGCAAUGAGGGUGACUUUGCAGAGGAUUUGCUUUUGUUUGAGUCAUCGUCUCAAAAUAAAGAAAAACAUUUUACUCUUAAAUUGUAAUUUUCCUUAGCUCUUUAAUGCCAGCUGAAAUUUAUACUGUUACCAACCAACGUAUGCUUUUUACAUUUUCUCUCCCUUUGAUAUACACCUAAUCAAAUAAAUAGGCAAAAAUAAUAAUUUGCUGUACUUUUAACUUAAGAUCCAAAAAAUUCCCCAAGAGAAGCUGGAUUUAAUUUCUAGAUAGGGAAGCCGAGGCAGAGGGAGCUCGAGGGCUUUGCUUGGGAUCACACAGGAGGCCAGCAAUUGAUUUGGGAAUAAAAUCCAGGUGUGCUGGUUAAUUUCUACAUGCAGUUCCCUAACCAACACAAACCUCCCAAUCCCUUCUCUCUACAGCCGUAUCUCAUUUCUGUGUUUUGGAGAAGCGUUACUUUAGUGCAAGGAUCCAAAGCAAUACCAGUUGUCUUAGUUGAACUUAUUGAAUUUAAAACUCAGUAGUGUUUUGCAUUGAAGUAUGUGACGUGUUUAUCCCACUGCUCAGUUCCUAUCACAGAAACGAAACUCUCAUAAAUCUCAGUGCUUAUAAUGUCUGCUAUCGAAAGACCGGGUCACUGAGAAGAAGAAGAAUGCGACGGAACGUGGCAAAAACGUUCAGCUGUUCCUGUGACAAACAGAGCCGAGGGAGAUUCUCUUCCCCUAUCUUCUAAAGAGGCUUUUAAAACGUUCGUUGUGGAGCAGCAGGUAGUUGUUAACAUCUCUAAAGGGUGGCCCGUCCGUGCAUAGAUGCGGAGGUGGAAUUCGGAGCACUUGUCUGACCCAAGCAGGAAGGGGCUGUUCCGUUUAACGAGGGCAAGCCCAGCCACAAAGAAGUGAUAAUGGAGAUGCCAUUGACGACAGGGAUACAUGCAGAAGCCACAGAGAUUCCUCCUUUUGUCUCCGGACUGAUCACAAGGAUCAGAAUUCAUUCACACAUAGAAAGAAACAAUUGCCCGAAGUGCCCGAAGGAAAUGCAGAGAGCCGAGUCCCAGGUCUAGCUGCGUCGCUUUGACCUCUCUGUGAGGCCUGGGUAAAUCCUGAAGAUGCUGGGCCACAAUUCUUAAGAAGGAAACUUCAAGUUCUUUCCGCUUCACUUCCCCUUCACAUGUCUGAGGCAGUUAGCGUUGCUGCCCCAUAGUCUGCGUGGCAGGAGCUGUGUGCUAGCUGUGGCACCCAUUGUCUGCAUUUUUCCUCUCGUUAGUCUCCUUGACCUUUCAUUGUCUUACUCCUGCAGUGUCAGGUCAGACUUAGUGUAGGUCUCCCUUCACUAAGGACCCCUUUCCUUUCGUGGAUCACUAAGCAGGACAAUUGCUCUAUCCAUCUUUUCAGGGUCUAUUGUCGAGCCCCCCCUGAGCUGAGAAAGGUUUGAUUCACUGGGAAACCAUUUUGGUCAAAGGGAAGCCUGACUAUGUGUCCUUUUAGGAACUCUGUCUUAAUCACUGACUUUUUUAUCUGGGAUAUGAAGAGGAUUCAGGAGAUCAAAAGGUUUGGGAGUACAUGGGUUUGACCACAUUUUUCCUGGAAAUAAUGGGAAACCUCCACUGAAAAAUGAGCUCCGUUACAAUGGGCAAACAAGAAGGAAAGCCACAUAGUGUUCCCAGAGCAUUCUGAAUCAUCGGACCUUCAAUAGCUUCCAUAAAGAAGGGAAAAAGUAAACAGAAAAAGUAAAUGGAAUGUAAUAAUUAAUGGACCUGAAGAAUAAGACUCAUUUUAUUUGCGCAUAAUCGGUGCUUUUGAAAAAAAGAUAAGUCAAAAGGAAUUGACAGAGCAGAUGGAGAAGACUUCUUGAUGACUGGAAGUUCAGUUGGGCUGAGCAUGUAGCAGACACACAUGUAGUUACUCAGAAUUAGUAGCUUGUGUCACCUUGACAAGUGACUGUACACUCAGUGGUUCCAUAUUCUUCCUAGGACCAUGAUGUGGAGGCCUUGUUGAAGCACCACAGUGGAACUAUGCUGGGUUUGAAGGCACUACCUUUGUCACUAGGUGUUACAUGUUCAGCCACAUACAUGCCAAUGCCUUGAAAAUUUCAUCUUGUGAGGGACAGACAUCCAGACAUCUACUUUUUCUAGGCAUUAUUUGUGCCUUUCCUGGCUAUGGAAUGCACCCCAGUAUUAGCAAGUUUAUAUUUAAACUUCAAUAUUUGCUCACAUAUUUUCCUGAGUCAAAUAAAAAGUGCCAGCUGGAUGUUAUGAGUGCCUUUGUACUGGCCUUUGGAUGAGGAGCUGCAGCAGGCUUCAAACAAGGUCAAACUUACAGGUUAUACCUUUAUUCCCCAGCAAGAAAGGGGGGAAAUAAGCCUUUAAAAUACAAAACAAAACAAAACAGAAACCUAGAAAACUCAUCUUAAAAGAAAAAUUCUCACCAGGUAUGAAGACUAUAAAGUGAUACCAUACCAGACCACACGUCUGAAAUGUUUCGAGGAGAGAUGAGUGUAGAACUGGAUGAGAUGCGAAGCAUUCCUAUUUUCUAUACUGAAAUUUCUGAACCUGAUGUUUCUUCAUUGGAAAACAGACAUAACCCUUUGGAUGUUUACAUUAAGUAUGCUUAGAACAAUUUGUUUUUUGUUGUUGUUGUUUUGUUUUGUUUACUGGUGUAUCUGUAUACAGUAACUUUCAUGCCAUCUUAAUGUGCUCCUGCCAUUUAACUUCACACUGUCAGCUGAUCUCUUAAUGUCAGCAGUGCAACUUUCUGUCAACACUACUAAGUAGAGGUGUCCAGGAUAUUAAAUAUGCUUGAAUUUAUAUACAUGAGGAAGGGAAAAAGUGAUUCAAGCUCUUCCUGAACUGCAGAAAGACCUGAAUUGUGCUUUGGUGGAACUGCUCCAGAACAAAAACUUCUGCUCCAGAAGAGUAUUUAGUUCUGAUUCUUAGUAGCACUAAAUAUCUUUUUUUUUUUUUUUUCUAUUAACAAGUGCCAAACACAUGAGGAGAAAAUAUGAGCUGGUAGAAUUAGUAUAGCUGCAGUUUUACACUUCCCAAAGGUAGGAGAAUGCUCUAGGAUACAUUUCAGAUACAUGAGGGAAGGCCUUCAUAUAACGGAAAUGCAGUCUCGUGACAUUAAACUGUUUUGGAAAACGGUUGCAUUUUAUGUAAUGUUCAACCCUGAUAAAGAGAAUUUUGCUGAAUAUUUCUAAGCACUAUCUAUCACAAAUUAAGAGUAUGUGGAAAAGCCACCAAUUUCACCUGUGUAGUGGAAAUGCUAAGUCACAGCCUGAAGCAGUGAUUGAGCACCUGGUGGGAAGGCAGGGCCAACCCAGGGGAGCUCAGGUGCACACAAUGCCCCUUCCCAGACCUCAUUUAAGGGUUGGCAGUGGAGGCAAUGCUAUUUUGCUAGAGAUGCCUGUGGCCUUCUAAGGGUGAGUAGAGUCUUUCUGUUUUCUUUCUGCAUUCAUAGUCGCUGCAUUUGAGCAUAUCCUUACUAGUUGCAGUCUAGGACUUUGCUACUAUACAGUCAUUGCAGUGCGUUGUGUUAGAACCUGGUAUUCCAUUAUGCAAGUUACUUAUUUUCUAUGUGUUUUUGAUGACUUUAUGAUGGGAACCUAACCCUUUAACUGCACUGUGCCUCAUGUGGCUAAAAAUGUUACAUCAAAAUGUACUUAAUGAGUAAGAGAGAUAAAUGUUUUCAUUAACUUCAAUGGCUAACAUUAAGGCUAUUGAUAGAAAACAUCCUACAUGAAGAAAGCUUCUAUCUGUUACUAAAGUUACUCCUUUAACCUACCCAUCAGCAGGGCGUUGUAGGCAAAGGCUUUCUAAUGCAGUUUUGUCAAAACCAGCUAGGUUAUUUCAAUCUGAGCAUCUGUUACGUGGCAGCCUUUAAAGAAAUUAUGUUUACCUCAUUUAAAGGUCUUGUAUGUCAUACUGCCUGGAUGUUUUGAGUGAUCUUAUAUUGUUUAGCAUUCCUUGAGUCUCAAAAUGUGUCUUGGGUGGGCUGCUACUCUUCUUCCCUUUGAAAACACCAUGCUGUCCCUAGGUAUCCUCACAAUUCAGCCUUUCUUGAUGAGCUGACUUUAGUAAAAGUGAUUAUGGACCUCAGGAGAAACUAAUUUUCCUGAUUGAGAAUUAGGUCAAGAAUUUAACUUAGCACAGAUAAGUCUCAUGUAACUUGGAAAUCCUGAUACUGCCUGCCUUUUCUGUCAGCAGACUGGUGGGGGCAAGACCUCCAGCAAAGUAAUGAUAAAAGGAGGAAGGUCACCUCCUCUGUUAGCACAUCUGGAUCAGGAAGAAGAUGAUUUACUAUCCUCACUCUAAACUCCUAUUGAAAUGAACAAUCCUUUUCCUCACAAAGGGCUAGUGGCUCUGCUGCAUAUUUAACUGAAAUGGUAGUAUGGUCAGUCACAUAGCUGAAGAUCUAAGAACUAUAAUAUGAUUGAACUAAUUGCUUCCAGAGGGCAAAGAAACAGAAAGAAGCUAUAAAAAGGUAUGCAGUAUUUGAAAAUCAGUAAAUCAGUUUUUUUUUCUUCAAAUAAUACUGCUUGUAGAGCUUUAAAUGCCAGAUGGAACGUAAAUUGUUAACUAUUAUUUCUUGUAAGUGUUCAUGUUUUCUGUCCUCUGUUAAAUCUUAAUCUCCAUAUGUUGGUUCAUGCUAACAGCUUCCACAGUAAAAUGCAGUACAUACAAGUGGGCAAAAUGAUGGUGUGUUCUGAGUAGUUACAGUCAGUUGCUAACUGUUGAUGUUGUAUUCAACCUUGUAACUUUCUAAUAUUGAGAUAAUGAGCAAGUGCAAAACUGUAUUAACUCUUCUUUUGUAGCUGCUUGAUCAGUAAGUAGCUGGUUAAAGGAAAGAUUCCCACUAACUUUAGUGGUCUGUGAAUCAAGCUCUUGAUAUAUAUAGAAGGUCCCUGAAAACAAAGUUUUAUUUUUUAAUGUAUUGUCUCAUUUGUUGAAUAGCAUGGCUUACUGCCCAGUGUUAUGGCAGUUCACAAUGACUAUUCUUCCCACCCAUUCUCCUUCUCCUCCUUCCAUUAAUCAGUGAUGGGUUGAAUUCAAAUGUUUUGGAAGUUCAGCCUGGUUUUGAUGUGAUAGUACAUAAAAAUAUCUACAGAGUAGUUAUUAGGGUGCUUGGUGUGGCUGCAUUUGUCCCGGGGAAACCUCCCCCUUCUUUCUGAGAGCAGCAGCAGAUUUUGUGGGAAGGUUGGCAGCUCUACAAGGUCCUCUUUGAGGCAGGCUCCACUCCCUCUGCCCCAGUGGUACAUCCAUCAUUUUUGGUUUUCCUUUCCAAAAUGCUUUUCACAAAAGUCACUUCCUUGUUUCACAUUACUCCAUGCUCUGUGAAUUCACACUGGAACAUGCUGCGAACCAGAUCCAUAUCUGGUGUAAAUCAGCAUCAUCCUGCUACUCUCAGUGGAAAUACAAAACUUGGUAUCUACGGAGGAUCUUGUCCAUGAACUCUAAGCAGACACUUUUGGUAGAGAGAAAAUGGGUUUGUGUGUUCUGGGGAGAGGUACUGCAAGGGGCAGCAAAUGGAAAAUCCUACCUAAACAUUAAGGAGUUUAUCUUCACUAACCUUUCUAACAUGAUAAUUUUGGAUGAACUUCUGCUCUUUGUACCCUGAUACUGUCCAUUUCCAAGUGCUAGAAAUUGGUGUGGAACAAAAAAAAAGGGUCUGAGCUAUUGAUGCUGUAUAAAGGAGCUCAAUUAGUAUCAUCAUAAAAUAACUUUGUAUAAGCAUAUCCCCUGCACUCUCAUUUCUGUCUAUAACUGUUCAUGCUAAGCACCUAUUUCAAAAGCUGCUCCAAGUUUAUUCAAGGAUGCGUUUAGUCUGAUCUGCAGCAUUUGUCACUUGUUGGCCAAAACUGACAUAAGGGAUUUAAAUGUGCUGCUUCUAACGUGGUGACGCUGCCUUUAAUUUAGCAUAAGUGAUUAUAUAUGUUUGACUGUCAAAUCACUGUAUGUAGCUUUUGUGGUUGGGGGACUUGUUUUAUCAAAGAAUUCUGCUGAACCUCUUCCAAACCAGAACUCUCAUGUGUAUAAUUAUAUUGUAUUUUCAUUAUAUAAACUGUAUUUUUAAGACUGAAAACAUAUGAAAUGAUUAUGGGAACGUGCAUUCUAUACGACACCACCAAGUACUUGUGGGAAGAGAAGCUUAUAACAUAAACCAAAUGUUGUCAUUAGUAUACAGGUACAAGAUGCAUCCUUGUGACCUGUGAAACUCUUAAGGAUGAAAUAGAAGGAUCUGCAAACACACGCAAUUGCACUUCAGGUUGAAUGAAAUUUAUAGCAAACUUUACUUUGCAGUGAAUAAACACCUCAGUGGUACUUAAUGGAAGUAGAUGUCAAAUAUUCACAGCUCGCUGUUGAGCCUGUAGCCAAGUUAGGUGCUUUCAAAAUACCUUUCAAAGGGAUACUUCUGCAAAUGCUUAUUGCUUCUUUAAUGCGUCUAAUAGGUGUAAAUACAAUGCUGUAAGUAUUUUGGUGUUUUAACCCAAUUGUUUUUCUGGGAUUAUGUCUUUAGUUUACUUCAAUUGUAUUGCUGUAACUGGAAUUAGAUCCUCAUAGGGUUCAAGUAGGUGCCACAGAGACCAGCCUUUUGAGACAUCUGCAAUACAGUAUUGAUUAAGGCAGGGACCAAAAUCAUGUCCAAUAGCAAGUCUGGCUAAGGGAUGUGAGCUGCGUCAGUUCUGAGCAAAUCAUCAACACUAUCGUGUCAGCAGAAUGUGCUUAUUCAUAGAUUUAUUAUUAUCGUUAUCCUCUUAAAAGGCUGUCAAGCAUUGUCCUUAUGCUUAAAAACAACAACAACAACAGAACUGAAACAUCAUGUAGAAGUAAGCAGCCUACUGAGAAUAUACCAAUACAUGUGUCCAUAGAGUUCAGUGCUUGAAUUCAAUUCUCCUUUUGCACCCUUACGCUGUUGCCCUAAAUAAUAAGCUGUCUGUUAUUCCUAAUGCCUUUGGUGGCUCCAUAGAGAGUAACCUUGCUAACUUUUUUUCCCCGUCUCAGUAACUUUAGCUUAAUUAACAGUGAUUCUUAAAAAUAAAAAAAUAGACCUCAAAGGGUAGAAGGAAUCCACAGGGUGUUUUGUGAAAGUGAAUCACUGCAUGUUUGUGUGUGUGUGUAUAUACAUACAGAGUUACAUAUGUUCACGCAUGCAGAAAACCAGAGAAAGCAUCUGUCAUCAGAACUAUCUGUGAGUCACCUCAGAUAAAUGCUGUUUCAAGGCAAUCCUAUGCAAUAGAUUAAACAAUGUCUUCAGUUUGUGGCAGAGAGUUUAGGCCCAGUCAUUUACAAGCUAAAAAAUAGGUCAAGGAAUAGUGGUGAUAACUUGCCUUAUCGCCGGGCUGUGUAUGUGAGACCAUUGUCAUCCGUAGCUCCUGAGCAGUGUGCUGAUGUGGGUGCUGAGCCCUCUGCAGAGCUGGCAGCACAGGAGUCACUGAUGUUACAGUGCUGCAAACCUGAGCAGAAAAAUCAGGGCUGGGGUCUUAACAAGAGUUUUUUUUUAUCACAAAUGUUGACAAGGACAACAAAUGCAGAAUACCUGAGUUCAAUGAAAUGUCCUGAGUUGCCAGAGAAACCAUCUGAAGGCAGCUUUGCAGACUCAGUGCAGCAAAUUCCUGCAGCACAUUCCAGAAGUCCCCAGCCUGAGUCACUCUGAGCUCAAUUGCAGAGCUUGGAAGCUGAUGAAUCACUGUUGAGCAGUAUGUAUGUUUUUAUAAUCUUUGCUUUAAGUAAUGUCCAUUCAAGAUCUAAGCUAAUGACCAUUGGAUAAGGGUGCAGAUGGAAUGUGGUUUCCACAUUUGGAAGCCUGCUGUGAUGAAUCUGUUCUUUAAGUGUGUUUAUGUUUGAGGGACUUUGCAUGCGGGCUAUCUCCUCAAUGGCAUGUUAAACUCUGCUCUCCAAGGAGAAGAGUGCAAGAGAGGUAGAAGGGGGAGGAGAAGAAUCCAAAAGAGUGGAAAAAGCUGCAAAAUGCAUUUCUUUAGAAGCACUGAAGUUGAUUUUUUUUUGCAAGGUUUGAAGCGUCCUUCUCAUUCAAGGGAGCUCUGAUAACUCACCACAGAUUAUUACAGUGUUGAGGGGUCCGAACCUGCGGAGGGGGUCACUGUUUUCAGUAUCUUCAUGAUGAAUGCUGUUUGUUUGUAUGCUGUGUUCAAACACUGAAAUGAUUCAAAGCGCUUGCAGAUUUUUGCUGAGAUUCUAAGCUUUAUUAAUUUUACACAGUCUCCUUCCUUCUUUCUUCAUCUCCAUGCACGUGCUUUACUUCAGCACAGCAUUUAGGCACAGCUCCCAUCACAGGCGUACUUCCACUGGAGAUGACUCAUUCACGUGUGGUGUUCUGCAGACCCGCUUCUGCAGCUUCUUACAGUUCAUACAAUCAUUAAGGUUGGAGAAGACCUCUCAGAUCCUCUAGUCCAACCACCCACAUGCCACCAGUAUUGCCCGUUAAACCACGUCUCUAAAAGCAUAGAGAGUUUAGUUCCUAAAGCACGGAGAGACUUGAGCUGGAAACGUAAUGAUUGGUCUGAAGACAACACGGGAUUAGCCUCGGCUUUCCUCCCAAACUAAUGUAAACAAAUUCCCUACUCCCGAAAUAACUCGCGAGAUACCUUUUCCCCCUCCUCGCCCUGAAGUAUUCCUCUGUGCUUCCUGAUUUUUGGCAGGGACGUUUCAGAAAUAGCUAUUACAAUGAUGUUUCCACUCUGAAAGAGGAAGCGCUGGGUGGGAGGAGUUAGGAGAGGAGCAGAGGAAGCAAAGCUGUUUCGUGCCAUCUCGGGCUGAGCUUCCACAGCAGAUAGGUGGGAACGCAUCUGGGUGCUGAGCCACCAGAGCCCACCCUCGCCCGGCACGAGGCCAAACGUGAGCACACAAGGCAUGGCAUGCGUGGCCCCUCGUAUGGCUCGGCACAGCUGAUGCUGACAGCUCGGCACUGCUGAGCAGAGUGAAUGAGGCGAGGUCAGGAGGAAGGCAGCAGCGGGCUCCCCUCCCUGCGUUGUACAUGAAAGGUGCUGCCGGGACGGCUCGCCAGUGCGGCUUUGUGUGCAGCAGUCAUGCUGGAGAAGCUGCUCUGUCACAUGUUUGUCAGCCAGCCAAGAUUUUAAUUCUGAACUUUUCCAUGAAACCAAUAGCUAUAUUCUCUGGCUCUGGCCCGCUCUAGUGCUUGGCCAGGGCUAUGGGAAUGAAAUGUCAAAGCAGCCUGUCUAUGAAUUGAGAUUGCUUUCAUGCGUCUCCACCUGCUGGCUGGCAUUUCACUAAUUGCAGUAGCCUGUAGGGAUGACAGUGGACUUUUUGAAGCGAAGGGCUCACGUGGGAAGCGUAACUCAGCUCUAUGAGGAGACAAACAAAUGAGUGUGAUCAAAGAGAUCAUUUCUAACUUGACAAAGAGUGCUGUCCUGCAUCACAGGUAGAAGGCCACUGAGGUUUUCAAGCCAUGCUUUUGAGCUUCUGAAGCCUCAGCUGAAAGAUAAGCACUAAGAAGGAUUUUUUUUGGAAGGAAUUCGCCAAGUGUGGAGACAUUAACAUAUUAUUUCACGACUAAAACCAGAUGCUGAGGAUGCUAAUGUGCUCUCAUUGACACAGUGAAAGAGGGAAAUAUUUAUUAAUAUCUGGAAGCAUGAGCAUUCUGGGGCCCGCAGCCUAGUUUCUGUGUGGUUAGGAAAGCAGUUACUUAGCAAAUGUGGGCAGGCAGCUGUUUUGAAUGGAAAGGAAUAGAAAUGAUUAAUGACUUUUAUGCUUUAAAGAAAUGAACCCACAGGAUUUCUUUCUUCUACUGUGCUGUCCCACUUGGCCAUUUCUGUCAUGUGCUCUGGGACUUUCUUUGGAAGUUUUCAAUGGUCUGUCUUGAACUACUCUUUAGAAACUUACUGGACCAGAUCUGGAGCCAGACAGAUGCCAGCUGUGGAUCUGAUCCAUUUGCACGUACAUUCACAGGCUCAGAGCACAGAUUACCAACACUUGAUAUUCCAUGAACUUUGCACCACGCCCGCAAUAGAAUAUCUUGCUCUCAGAUACUGCAGUGAUGGGUGCAGUAUUAAAUCCUAUGUAGAGAAGAAUUUUCCCUUUUUCUUAGCUGCAUUUUGUUUGGGCUAUAUUUUACAAUGUGGAAGGCAAGAGGCGUUCUCAGGAACUGAAACAAUGCAGGGCAUAAACCCUUUCUUUGAUAAUGUCUGAUGUCAAUACUGAUUAUUGAUGUUUUACCAUCUUCUAUACUCAUGGGUUGUUUCAUUCUGCCAAACUGCUCUGUCAUCUGUUUCUUGUGUAUGUGUUCAUUUAGCUCCUUAGGUCUUGCAUGUGCGGCAACAGAAGGUGGGAGGUAGAAAAGGUUAAAAAGAAGAUGAGGAAGAGAAAGAGGAACGUGGAGAAAAAGAAAAAGGAAGGCUGUACAAAACACUGAUAUUUUCACUGAAUUGCUCACAGUGAAUCAUUCAGCCAGUGUUGCUGAAGCAGUACUUACUGGGGACGAUCCCAUUGUCCUGGGAGUUGACUUUAUGGAAUUAUUUCCAGUAUACUUCUGUUCUGUGCGUGAUUUGAUCCGCUGAAGGUUCCGUUCCCCUAUUUUUGGAUUAUGUGUUCAGAGUGCCAAAGUGUGAAAUAGGAAUGAUUUUUAUUCCAAAGUAUUCCUCCACUUCAAAAGUGUUGUUCCAUAUUACUAAGCAUUGGGAACAGGAUUUUAACUAUAGAAAGCGGUGAAGGUGCCCAUUACAUAUCUGUAUAAUUAAGCACCAUCAAGCAUAUUUAUUCCAUAGCUAGACAAGUAACAUUGGAUAUAUUUGGUUAUUGUUAGCACUACACAUCUGACUGAAUUAGCUAGCUGUGUGAACUCCAUGUAUCAUGUAAUUUAGAAGGUGUAUGAGUUUAAUACAUCCUGAAUGCGUCUAAUACCUUGGCUAAACACAGGCACCGAGCUAGAAAGAGUUCUCGUAGAUCACUUUAAGACACAGCAGGACUGGAAGAUGAUAUUUCCUUGUCUGCAAGUAUAUCACUCUCAAGCCAUCGUUUCAACACAGGAAGUUAUCUGCUACCUGGGGUAACAAUGUGCGCUUGAGCACAAUUGGUCUGCUGUCUGAUGACAUUUAAGAAUUAGCCACAUAAGGAUUUCUUACAACACUGUCAAAGUAGUUCAACUGAUCAUUUUAACUGAGCUUAUUUAAAAUUCCUGAAUAUACUGGUGCAAAAUGAAAGUAACUUUUGCACACUUGCACUGCACGCUUCACUUACAUCAGUUAUUUCCAGUCUAGGAGUGAAGACUCAAAUGAGUAGUGCUUCUCUUUCUGUGUGUGUCUCUCUAGAUGCUUGCCAGGUGGACAGCUGAAUUAGCACUGGUGCCAUUCAAAUCUUCUAACACAAGGAUGAGCUUUAUACGUGUUGGUACACAAAAUCCCACAUAGAGUGGGAUUCAGACCUAUGUUCAGUCCACUUCACUGAAAGCAGCAGCUGGUCCAAUAGCCUGAAUCUUCUUUCAGGGGCUAUUUUGGAGAUUGCUAUCACUCAGGCAGGAAGUAUGAUUGUGUAUAUGAGUGUGCAUUUCUGUGCUGCUGAACAUGUGAGGAACGGACCUAUUUUCUCAAGUUGAUUCUUACUCUUCUUUUUUUUUUUAACUGCAAAAUACUUCCUGAAAACCUCUCCCUGGUAACCUUGGAGGGUACAGCAACAAGCAUGGUGGUUUUAUUCCUACCUGGACCAUCUAGUUGAUGUGCUUAUGGAUGAGUUUUGUCCUCUCUUGUUUUUCUGACCUUUUUUAGUUUUCAGACCUGUGCAUCACUGAAGUAUUCAUCAUCAUCUACUCUUGUUUGACACUGUCUCAAUUAACACAACCUUUGGCUGUCAUAUCAGAAUGUCUUUAAAGUGUCCCCAGUGAAAGGUCUCCUUGUAGUGCAGUAUUUCUGCAUGAAGAGGGGUGUGUGUGUGUGUGUGUGUGUGUGUGUGUGUGUGUAAAAAAAGCUAUGAACUUCAUAUGGUUUUCCAAAGUGUGUUGCUGCUAAGCAGUAUGUGAGGCAGGUGAGGAGUCCUUUGUAUCGUUUGCAAAUAAGUCACAUACCAGUUGGUGUUCUUGGGCCUUAUGAUUGCACUCCAAAUGAAGAAACACUGAUUAUGAAUGUUUCCCUACAAAUACCCUUAUUAGCGUUUUUGUUUUGGCAAGGGAAUUAUUACCUGCAAAUCCUUUGCCAGUCUCUGGGUAUAAUAAUGAAUAAUUGUGAUGGAAAAUAAGUCAGUGGGAAAUAGAUUAUCUGAGAGGCAAGUGUCUGGUGAGCUGUGCAUUACUCUGAUAGGGAUUGUCUAAUUGUACGAAAGACUAUGAAAAUGGAGCAGAAAAGUGGGCAAUCUAGGUAGAAAAAGACAGCAUGAAGUCGUCUCACAGGUAGUGUGCUGUUUGUGAUAUUAAUGUAAAUGAUGCCUGACAAGACAGCCAGCGGUGUGCAUCUCUGCAGAAUGACUGGAAGGCCAGUUUAGGCAGAUGGCUUUGAGGUGACUCCUUGCAGUGAAACCUCAUCUAGGGCAGGACUGGUCCCUGUCUCACAUGGGCAGCCAAGGAGCAGAAGGAGGCAAGCCACCUUUUGCAGGUUCUGGCUCAGAGCAUUCUCUCUCUGCGUUCUGCAAGCUGGGGCUUGCAAGCAGCGGGGCGGAAGCAAGCUGUACUCUAGCAGCACAAAUAUUGAAGUAACUUACUUCCCCGGCUGGAGCAAGGAGGAACCGUGGAAGGAAUUGCAGCUCUCUGAGUCACACUUCCUCCUUGGAGUUUCUCUUGGAGUAGCGCAGUUCUGCACCAUGCUGGAGGCUGACACUAGAGCUAUGCUUGGUCCAUCCUCUCACCCCCAAAGUGACAGGGAGAAAGAACGAGAGGAAGGAGAAAGACAGUGAGGCACUGGAUUAUCAUACCCUCAGAUCUCCCGAUUGCAGCUCUAAAUAUAGCCAAACAAGUAAAAAUCUGCUUUUGGAAGUGGUACAACUAUGUGGCUCCCAACCCUUCAAACAACAUGCAUGCAGAAGGCAGCCAGUCCCCUCCCGACCAAGAUGCUGGAUGGGGAACCAUGCUAAGCACAUUCUGAUCUCCAGCCAGAAAGUGAAAAAUUCCCAACUGCCACACCUACCAGGGUGUGACCAGAGACUAUCAACUAGUUUAUAUUUGCACUUUGAUACACAGCACAGGCUUAACAUCGUACGGUGUAUCCCUGGAAAAAAAUAGCAACAAGUUUCAACACAGAAAUUCUGUUAGAUUGGGAGGCCAGAAUAAAUAAAAGCCGACGAGUUGUAGAAUGACUCGAGGUAGAGUAAAAGAUCUCAUCUCAAAAAUAACACCAAGGCAGUGUGCUGCAGAUGAAACACAUAAUGAAAAAACAUUCCAAACUUCUCAUUUGAGAAAAGAUUACAAAUAAAAUAGGCUUGGGCAUGCCAAGUGUAAAAUCUUUGAUAUGGAAAUGCAGUAAUGGUUAAACGAAAUGGGCUGAAAAUCUAUUUAUCAACAGCCUGUAAUGCCUUGUUGGAUCGUCCCAUGAGAAAAGCAAAUAAGGAGUAGUAGGAGAACAUACAGACACUGUUAAAAGGUUUACAUACCUCCCGCCUUCAUACCUUGAGACAUAGUCCUUCACCUUAACUGGAGAUAUCUAAAGGUUUAAAUGCUGGUAUGAGAGCAGGGUUUGAGAUGCACGGCCUGAGACCCAGCUUUUCAGAAGGGCCCAAAUGUUUCUGGCUUGAGGUGUCUGAAAGGAACCUGCUCUCUAGAGGGUGACAGGGGGUGAAGGCACCAGCACACCGGGGGGCACCUGGGGUGACACCCUUGGGCAGGGGCAUCUCUGCCAUCCUCACCAAGGCUGCUGCAGAUGAAGAGCUGGGCCACAGCACUGCACUGCUGGCUGAAAGCGGCACCGCGCCGUUCGUCUGCCUCACUUCUCUCUUCAUUCACAGUUUUCUUUUGCCAGUGGGCAGUAAGUCAUUACCGAGCCCUACAUGUGAAUCACGAGUGCCGUGGAAAUUAAACUCCUUGACCUGCUCACGUUUUUCCCUUUGAUGUCAGUCUGAAUAGGCAUUUUUUGACUGAAACGUAGUUUUAAUUUUGAGAGCUAGCAAGACAACCACAACCUUCUCUGCAAGGAAGUUCUCUGAAGAAGUCUUUGUUGUUCUUCCCAAAUUACUUUCCUAGAGACAGAGCGUCGGCAUGCAGUGCUAUGGGGGGCCAGAGUGUGCUUCUGCCAUCCACAGGCACAGGAGAGAGAAAAACAGCUACUGGGCUGUACCCCAGAUGUGAAGGGACUAGCCAUGGUGUUGGGGACCAAAAUCUGUGCCCUGUGGGGAGCAGUAAAGUGGAGAGACCCCCAGCCCCAACCUGCAAGAGCUGGGUGCUGGAGGUGUGUGGUGAGCCAUGAAAUCAUUUGAGUUGGAAGGGGCCUUUAAAAGUCAUCUAUCCCAACUCCCCUGCAAUGAACAGAGACACCUACAGCUAGAUUAGGGUGCUUGGAGCCUCAUCCAGCCUCUGUGUGAUGAGCUGGCAUGGGACAAAGCAGCACGGCUGCUGAAAUAGGGGUGCUGCUGUUUCAGAGGCUGGGGGUUCAUAUCCCCAACAGGUUAGGUAAUGUGCAAGGCAUCCAAUAUUAAAUUUCCGUCUGAAAUCAUACAAUGUUUUGAUGAAG